rnacentral:rRNA from 1 species
UGAGGAAUAUUGGUCAAUGGGCGAGAGCCUGAACCAGCCACGUCGCGUGAAGGAAGACUGACCUUACGGUUUGUAAACUUCUUUUGUAGAGGGGUAAUGGCAGAUACGUGUAUUUGCGUGAAAGUACUCUACGAAUAAGCAUCGGCUAACUCCGUGCCAGCAGCCGCGGUAAUACGGGGGAUGCGAGCGUUAUCCGGAAUUAUUGGGUUUAAAGGGUGCGCAGGUGGCUAAUCAGGUCAGUGGUGAAAAGCUAUGGCUCAACCAUGGUCUUGCCAUUGAAACCGUAUAGCUAGAGAGGAGACGAGGUAGGCGGAAUGUGUGGUGUAGCGGUGAAAUGCAUAGAGAUUAGGAGGAACACCGGUGGCGAAAGCGGCUUUUUGGCCUGCAACUGACACUGAGGCGCGAAAGCGUGGGGAGCAAACAGG